AGAGUUUGAUCCUGGCUCAGAAUCAACGCUGGCGGCGUGCCUAACACAUGCAAGUCGAACGCGAAAGUGGAGCAAUCCAUGAGUAGAGUGGCGAACGGGUGAGUAACACGUGGGUGACCUACCUUCGAAUGGGGGAUAACGUCCCGAAAGGGACGCUAAUACCGCAUAACAUCCUGCCUUUGAACAGGUGGAGAUCAAAGCCGGGGAUCGCAAGACCUGGCGUUUGAAGAGGGGCCCGCGUCUGAUUAGCUAGUUGGUGAGGUAACGGCCCACCAAGGCGACGAUCAGUAUCCGGCCUGAGAGGGCGGACGGACACACUGGGACUGAGACACGGCCCAGACUCCUACGGGAGGCAGCAGUGGGGAAUUGUUCGCAAUGGGCGCAAGCCUGACGACGCAACGCCGCGUGGAGGAUGAAGGUCUUCGGAUUGUAAACUCCUGUUGCCCGGGACGAAACGCUUCGACCUAACACGUCGAGGCUGACGUACCGGGUGAGAGCCCUGCU
rnacentral:rRNA from 1 species